rnacentral:rRNA from 1 species
AUUAACAUGCAAGUCGAACGGGGAUCAUCGGUGUAGCAAUACAUUGGUGGUCCUAGUGGCGCACGGGUGAGUAACACGUGGGUAACCUGCCCUUGAGUUCGGGAUACCCCCUCGAAAGGGGGGCUAAUACCGGAUACGUUCCUCGGAUCGACAGGUCUGAGGAGGAAAGGUGGCGCAAGCUGCCGCUCUUGGAGGGGCUCGCGGCCUAUCAGCUAGUUGGCGGGGUAACGGCCACCAAGGCUAUGACGGGUAGCUGGUCUGAGAGGACGACCAGUCACACGGGGACUGAGACACGGCCCCGACUCCUACGGGAGGCAGCAGUGGGGAAUUUUCCGCAAUGGGCGAAAGCCUGACGGAGUGACGCCGCGUGUGGGACGAAGGCCUUCGGGGUCGUAAACCACUGUCAGUGGGAAAGAAGGGUGUCGGUGUUAAUACCA